rnacentral:piRNA from 1 species
UACUUUUGGAUGUAUUUGUAAAACUGUUGA